rnacentral:tRNA from 1 species
CAUAAAUUAGUUUAAUGUAAAAUAUCCCAUUUACAUUGGGAAGAAUUGAGAUCAAUAACUCUUAUUUUUGA